rnacentral:rRNA from 1 species
GACGAACGCUGGCGGCGUGCCUAAUACAUGCAAGUAGAACGCUGAAGGAGGAGCUUGCUUCUCCGGAUGAGUUGCGAACGGGUGAGUAACGCGUAGGUAACCUGCCUGGUAGCGGGGGAUAACUAUUGGAAACGAUAGCUAAUACCGCAUAAGAGUAGAUGUCGCAUGACAUUUGCUUAAAAGGUGCAACUGCACCACUACCAGAUGGACCUGCGUUGUAUUAGCUAGUUGGUGAGGUAACGGCUCACCAAGGCAACGAUACAUAGCCGACCUGAGAGGGGGAUCCGCCACACUGGGACUGGGACACGGCCCAGACUCCUACGGGAGGCAGCAGUAGGGAAUCUUCGGCAAUGGACGGAAGUCUGACCGAGCAACGCCGCGUGAGUGAAGAAGGUUUUCGGAUCGGAAAACUCUGUUGUAAGAGAAGAACGAGUGUGAGAGUGGAAAGUUCACACUGUGACGGUAUCUUACCAGAAAGGGACGGCUAACUACGUG